rnacentral:rRNA from 1 species
UACGGGGGGGGCAAGCGUUGUUCGGAAUUACUGGGCGUAAAGGGCUCGUAGGUGGCCAACUAAGUCAGACGUGAAAUCCCUCGGCUUAACCGGGGAACUGCGUCUGAUACUGGAUGGCUUGAGUUUGGGAGAGGGACGCGGAAUUCCAGGUGUAGCGGUGAAAUGCGUAGAUAUCUGGAGGAACACCGGUGGCGAAGGCGGCGUCCUGGACCAAUACUGACACUGAGUGAGCGAAAGCCAGGGGAGCAAACCGG